rnacentral:lncRNA from 1 species
UGGCAAAGACCCAAUUUCAUACUUCAUAGUCAACUUAAAUAAGUUCUCUUUUUUUCUGCUCUCACCAAUGUCACUUUCUCCUUCUACAAUUUCAGCAUUACAUUUUCAGGGUAUCUCCAUGGUGAGGCGAGAUUCCGCAUAAUCACCGUAGAAUAUCCCACGUGGCUACCUUGACUCAACCGAGUGAGCUUAUCAAAAUCCCAUCGCAUGCUCCACCUAUAUAAAUAUAUACUCACAUAUUCUCUAACCCUUCUUUCGACAAUUCUCUCUCUGAAAAAANNN